UUAACGCUUGGUGUCUCUCAGCUCCGUGUCAGUCGGUGCAGAAGCAGCAAGAUGCUGUGGCAGACUCAGCUCCUCUGGCUCCUCGUGCUCUGGGCAAAGGACUCCAGCUGGGACAUUCUUGUGAUUCAGACUCGAGAGUCCCUGGCCGUGUCCCCAGGAGACACAGUCACCAUCAAGUGCAAAGCCAGCUCUAGUGUUAGCAACUGGAUGCACUUCUACCAGCAGAAACCGGGGCAGGCUCCAAAGCUCCUUGUCUACAAAACAAGCAACCGCCCCUCGGGGAUCCCCGACCGGUUCAGUGGCAGUGGGUCUGGCACUGACUUCACUUUCACCAUCAGCCGGGUGGAAGCUGGUGAUGCUGGAGAUUAUUACUGUGGGCAGAGUUAUAAUACCCCUCCCACAGUGCUACAGCCCCGGGUGAACUUUUAUCCUGACUCAGCCACCAAGGACACUGGUAUUGGCACAGGAAUUGAGCACUGGGAUUGCAAUAGGUUCAUUGUCAUGCAGGGAUCCCCGCCUGAGCCACAUCUCAUUCAUGCCAUGGUGGUGAACUUUUAUCCUGACUCAGCCACCAAGGACACUGGUAUUGGCACAGGAAUUGAGCACUGGGAUUGCAAUAGGUUCAUUGUCAUGCAGGGAUCCCCGCCUGAGCCACAUCUCAUUCAUGCCAUGGUUGGAAAGUCCUUGCAGAUGCCUGGCAUGUUCUAA